rnacentral:rRNA from 1 species
CCUACGGGCGGCAGCAGUGGGGAAUAUUGGACAAUGGGGGCAACCCUGAUCCAGCCAUGCCGCGUGUGUGAAGAAGGCCCUCGGGUUGUAAAGCACUUUCAGUGAGGAAGAACGCCUGGUGGUUAAUACCCAUCAGGAAAGACAUCACUCACAGAAGAAGCACCGGCUAACUCCGUGCCAGCAGCCGCGGUAAUACGGAGGGUGCGAGCGUUAAUCGGAAUUACUGGGCGUAAAGCGCGCGUAGGUGGCUUGAUAAGCCGGUUGUGAAAGCCCCGGGCUCAACCUGGGAACGGCAUCCGGAACUGUCAGGCUAGAGUGCAGGAGAGGAAGGUAGAAUUCCCGGUGUAGCGGUGAAAUGCGUAGAGAUCGGGAGGAAUACCAGUGGCGAAGGCGGCCUUCUGGACUGAAACUGACGCUGAGGUGCGAAAGCGUGGGUAGCAAACAGGAUUAGAUACCCGGGUAGUC